CCCCCAUUCAUUUUGUCUUGCCCAUUCACCCUCUGAAUGACACACAUACACAGUCUAUGUCUCAAUUGUCUCGAGGCUUAAAAAGUAUUCUUUAACCUGUUACUAGGUGGAAAGGAACUAAAAACAUACAGAAAACUGGCUCCAAAACUGUCAAGAUGCUCGAGCAGGGUGGGCGGCGAAGCAGCAGUAGCCCUCCACACCACAAGGGGGAGACUGUCCCAGCACUGGUGUCUGCUGCUACGUCGGAGCUGAGGUCUGACCUGGCUCUGAGCCUGGUCCAGGGGUUCUCUGAGGAAGAGAGGAGCAGUGACAUGGCUGAGUGGCAGCUGGAGGGGAAGGGUAGUCCGCUGGAAGAGCUGGUUGUGCAGUCAUCCAGGACUGUGGAAGGAGCCGUGUUGAGCAGUGCUGCCACCUUCUGUUGUGGAGGACAAGAGGCAGCAGGGACAGGGAAUAAAGUGAGGAUGGAGCUGGUGGGCAGAGAGGGGACGAAGAAGCAGCAGUCUGUGAGGAAUCAGACACCAGGUAAGGAAAGGAAUCAAGUCAAUAGGUUUAGAUCAUGGUUUUAUCCCAAGGAGUACUGUUUAGUUCAUUUUUCUCCAUCCUUCCCUCUCUCUCUUUUCACCUUUCUCUAUUUCUCUCUCUCGCUUUCUCUCUCUCUCCCUCAUUCUCCCCCUCCCUCUUCUCCAGGCCCCUCUAGACUGUCUUCAGGGACUUCUGGAGGUCUGAUGUUUGUCAGGCUGCGACUCCAGCAAUCCACUGGGAAGAAGAAAGGUGUGGCUGCAGGCUUGCUGCUGGGGACAAACAAAACCUUACCCCGGAGGGACUCCUGGUUCGCCUUCUCCCAGGAGAGCUCAGAUGAGCUGUACGCCUACAUGAACCACUGGAGGCCUGGCCUGUGCAUGCUGGAGGGAGGGUCGGAGGAGGGCGACGAGGAGGAGUUUGUACUGGUUGAAGACAGAGAAGAAGAAGAGGAGGAGGAGAAGGAAGAAGAACAGGAGGUGUCCAAGGACCAUGGGCGGACUGGGGAGGACUGGGAGGUAAGUCUGGAUUUUAGUGGGGAGGACUGGGAGGUAAAUCUGGAUUUUAGUGGGGAGGACUGGGAGGUAAAUCUGGAUUUUAGACUGAGGGGGACUGGGUGUUAAAUCUGCAUUUUACUGGGGAGGGCUGGGAGGUAAGUCUGUAUUUUACUUGGGAGGAUUGGGAACUAAGUCUGUAUUUUACUUGGGAGGAUUGGGAACUAAGUCUGUAUUUUACUUGGGAGGAUUGGGAAGUAAGUCUGUAUUUUACUUGGGAGGAUUGGGAAGUAAGUCUGUAUUUUACUGGGGAGGACUGGGAGGUAAAUCUGUAUUUUACUGGGGAGGACUGGGAGGUAAAUCUGUAUUUUAGUGGGGAGGACUGGGAGGUAAGUCUGGAUUUUAGACUGGGGAGGAAUGGGAGGUAAGUCUGUAUUUUAGAGUCUUUGAGGAGAGUCAUAAAGAAAGGCUGGAGUGCCUGAUGUGGACAUACAGGUAAACUGCAAUAAAUUGCUUUUGACUAUAGCAUUAAGUAAAGACCCCUUGUGCACACCAUGGCCUGGGGAAGUUUGGGCAACUGUUUAAAAGUUUGAGAAGUGUUUAGGUGGGGUCAGGGAUUAUUGUUUGACAUGUGUGUGUCAAGUUUUGGCGACAGUGGGAUUUUAAUGGGUUUAUGACUAGGUUGUGUGUCUUGUGUUGCAGCUGGUGACAGUGGAGGAUGGUAGAGAGAGACUCCCUCUGGACAUGGACAAAGAUCCAGAGGGACUGUGUGAGAUCGUAGCCCAGAGUCGCAUCUUAGACGCAUCGCUUGUCAGAGAGGUGAGUGUGAGCACAUGUUCAUAGACAGAACUUCACAAAACACACGCUCUGUCUCAUCUAAUCACACACAAAUUCACAAUGGAAGAUAAUUCACAGAUCUCAUCCAUUCUUGGAUAAGAAAGAUAGAUAAUUACUUAAUUAAUCCCAAAUGGGAAAUGAAUGACUGCUUCUCAUGACGUGUCGCUGGCCAGCGCCACACAGAAGAAAUUGCACACGUUACUCUUCUUGCCUCUAGUUCCACAAAUGUAUUGACUGGUCUGGGUUUAAAGUUAAAUCCAGAGUCUGAGACUUAACCUAACUUUCCUACUUCAGGCUCCCUUGAGCAGCACUGUCCUUCAGUCAAACACAUUUACUGAACCUUCGUGCCGAGUAGAGUACUGAAAAUAUUGAAAACCUCUACUGUGGCCAUGUUUCACGAUAGAGGGUGAAGUAGGAAAGGAUCAG
ensembl:lncRNA